rnacentral:rRNA from 1 species
CCUACGGGGGGCUGCAGUGAGGAAUAUUGGUCAAUGGGCGCAAGCCUGAACCAGCCAUCCCGCGUGCAGGAAGACGGCCCUAUGGGUUGUAAACUGCUUUUCCAGGAGGAGAAACUCUCGUACGUGAUACGGGAUUGACGGUACCCUGGGAAUAAGCAUCGGCUAACUCCGUGCCAGCAGCCGCGGUAAUACGGAGGAUGCGAGCGUUAUCCGGAUUCAUUGGGUUUAAAGGGUGCGUAGGCGGACUAUUAAGUCAGUGGUGAAAUCCUGCAGCUUAACUGCAGAACUGCCGUUGAUACUGAUAGUCUUGAGUUUGGUUAAGGUAGGCGGAAUGUGUAAUGUAGCGGUGAAAUGCUUAGAUAUUACACAGAACACCGAUUGCGUAGGCAGCUUACUGAGCCGACACUGACGCUGAGGCACGAAAGCGUGGGGAUCGAACAGGAUUAGAUACCCCGGUAGUC